UAGAAAUUAAAAAAUUUACGGAUUCGAAAAUUUACUGUUUUGAUAAUUUAGCAGUUCGAGAGUUUAUGAGUUCGGAAUAUUGUUGGUUUGAAAAUCUAUGGCUUCAUGUUUAUUAUAUCUAUAUUAUUUACUCUGUUUAAUUUAUGGCUUCAUGUUUAUUAUAUCUAAACACCAAAAUAUAAAUAAAAUGAAAAAAUUUAUGGCUUCAUGUUUAUUAUAUCUAAACACCAAAAUAUAAAUAAAAUUACUACUUAUUUUCCAAGAAAAUAUUUUUCACGAAAUUAUUUUUUAUUAUACCAAACACGCCCAAAGAGUCAUAAAAUUAGUCCCGUUAUACAUACAGAGGCCUUUUCUCGUGUGGAAAAGGUAAUGGAUUAUAUUAAUAUAAGAAAAACAUACGUAGAAUUUUCUGCUUGAUAGGCCAUAAUAACUGCAUAAUUUAUCUGACGAAAAUGAUUUCAUUCACGUAGAUCUAUCAAACUACAAUGGUAUCUCUCUCACAUUAAUACCAUGGGCAAAAUUUUCUUCCUAAGCAAGCCAUUUUCCACAUUUUGCAACUUAAUACUGGAAUACGUCUUUGUUAAGGAUUUAUUAUUGGGAAAUUACCAGCUAUGUCUAUUUAGAAGUAACUCAUUAUAAAAAUUGGCUAAUUGGUAAAAUAUUACUAAUAUUAGUCAAAAUGGCCAAUUAGCUAUUCGUAGUAAAAAAAUAUCAAUUUGUUUUGAGGGGGUGCUAUUAGAAUAGAUUAGGUAUAUCUUAAGGAACUUGAAUAUCAGUUUUGGGAUGAUUUGGUGAAGUUUUGAGGUGAUUUGAAUUGAAAAUUCAAAGUAAAAACUGAAUAUGUAAAAAAAAUUAUAUGUGUAUUACACUGUGUAUCACACAUGUAUCAUCUUUGUAUCGAUUGUGUAUCACAUGUAUAUCCAUGUAUAUCUGUGUGUGAGAUACAUGCAUGAUACAUAUGUUUGAUACAUGUGUCAUAGAAGAAUUUUUUUGACACCGAUUUAAUUUUGAAUUUUGAUACAAAACCAACCAAAAUCACCUCCAAUCCUCCUCAAAUUUUGUAUAUUGACUUAUCUAUAUGUUUUUAAUGAAUUUAGACUAUAC
rnacentral:lncRNA from 1 species